ACUCCUACGGGAGGCAGCAGUGGGGAAUAUUGCACAAUGGGCGCAAGCCUUGAUGCAGCCAUGCCGCGUGUGUGAAGAAGGCCUUCGGGUUGUAAAGCACUUUCAGUUGUGAGGAAAGGUUAGUCGCUAAUAUCGGCUAGCUGUGACGUUAGCAACAGAAGAAGCACCGGCUAACUCCGUGCCAGCAGCCGCGGUAAUACGGAGGGUGCGAGCGUUAAUCGGAAUUACUGGGCGUAAAGCGCAUGCAGGUGGUUUGUUAAGUCAGAUGUGAAAGCCCGGGGCUCAACCUCGGAAUUGCAUUUGAAACUGGCAAACUAGAGUACUGUAGAGGGGGGUAGAAUUUCAGGUGUAGCGGUGAAAUGCGUAGAGAUCUGAAGGAAUACCGGUGGCGAAGGCGGCCCCCUGGACAGAUACUGACACUCAGAUGCGAAAGCGUGGGGAGCAAACAGGAUUAGAUACCCUGGUAGGAUAGCGU
rnacentral:rRNA from 1 species